UACGGAAUGUGCAAACGUUAUUCGGAAUUACUGGGCUUAAAGAGUCCGUAGGCGGCUUGUUAGGUGAGGUGUGAAAUCCCCCGGCUCAACCGAGGAAUUGCGCUUCAAACCGGCGAGCUAGAGGAAGAUAGAGGUGGGCGGAACUGAUGGUGGAGCGGUGAAAUGCGUUGAUAUCAUCAGGAACACCGGAGGCGAAAGCGGCCCACUGGGUCUUUUCUGACGCUGAGGGACGACAGCUAGGGGAGCGAACGGG
rnacentral:rRNA from 1 species